AUGUCAACCUCUUGGCUUUUUCUUCUGUCUUUGACCUGUGUUUAUGGAGACUCCUGGAUAUCUCAGGAUCAGCUCUCCUUUACCCGAAGACCAAACAAGACGGUGCACAUAAGUUGCAAGCUCUCUGGGGUUCCCCUUCAUAACACCAUUGUGCACUGGUACCAACUGAAAGAAGGGGAGCCCCUGAGACGAAUCUUCUAUGGCUCAGUCAAAACUUACAAACAAGACAAGUCCCACUCCCGCUUGGAAAUUGAUGAGAAGGAUGAUGGUACCUUUUACCUGAUAAUCAACAAUGUUGUCACAUCGGAUGAAGCCACGUACUACUGUGCCUGCUGGGAUCU